rnacentral:antisense_RNA from 1 species
AAGUUAGCCAAAGCAGCCCAGGGCCGCCGCCCAGCGCCCCCGAGCCCCGAGGAGAGCCGUCGCGACCGGGGGCUGCCUGGGCAAGGGCGGGGCGAGAGGGCAGAACGCCUGCUCUCGGACAGAUCUGGGGACCCUUCACCUGCCUCUACUACUGCAAAUGAUUGGAUAUUCGUCUGCCUUGGCUCUUCCCUAAUGUGUGGAACUAAUUUUGUUCACUCUGUUUCAUGCUGGACCUGGCCUGAAAAUGGGCCCUUAUAUUGUCUUUGCACUUUCCAACUUGCCAAGUUUCUGAAAGAAGGACCAAAGUAAUGCCAAGAACUCCCAGAUGAAGAGGACCUUCCUUAGACCUAUAACAGAUUCACUACUUGACUUUAGAGGGAAGUUUCAGCUAAUUCUCAGGAAAAGGUCAAAACAGGCCUGUGACUGUCCCUUGAAUACUGAAGGUAUAAACAAGCUUCUGGCUCCUCCAGGUCAAGCAGAGGAACACUUUUAUUAGAAUGAAGGGUUACUUCUUUGUUAUUCAAACACACACCCACACACAUCCUCUGUAGUCUCCCUAAUGAAAAACCUCAACAGAUGGAGAGCCUGAGCUCCCAAGUCCGCAGGCUGAGAAGAUGCACUUCACUCAAGGGCCAGUGGGCUGGUACAGACUAGGGAAGAGAAAAGGGACAAAGGCUGCUAGUAUAGGUAAUCACUAUCUUUUAAUACUCCUAACACAUAGAAAUUCGAAAAAUCUUGUUCAGCAAUGUUAGCAGCCUGUGAGCCUCAGAAACUAAUUUGGCCGAUGUGUCUCUGAUAGGGAGCUUAGGGCUGCACCAAGGGGAAACAUUCUCCUCCUGUAUUCUCUCCUCUCUGUCGUUUGAAAGCCUGUACAAAGAAAUGGUACAAAUGGAUGGUUAACUUAAUGAUUCCAUCAGAGGCAGAUUUUUCUCUGUCAGGUCCCUGGAUAAGGUGGAGGUCUGAAAGCCAGGAGACAGAAUAUGU